GGGGAAUUUUGGACAAUGGACGCAAGUCUGAUCCAGCCAUGCCGCGUGCGGGAAGAAGGCCUUCGGGUUGUAAACCGCUUUUGUCGGGGAAGAAACGAGUUUCUCUAAUACAGAGACUUAAUGACGGUACCUGAAGAAUAAGCACCGGCUAACUACGUGCCAGCAGCAGCGGUAAUACGUAGGGUGCAAGCGUUAAUCGGAAUUACUGGGCGUAAAGCGUGCGCAGGCGGAUAUGCAAGACAGAAGUGAAAUCACCGGGCUCAACCUGGGAACUGCCUUUGUGACUGCAUAGCUAGAGUACGGUAGAGGGGGAUGGAAUUCCGCGUGUAGCAGUGAAAUGCGUAGAUAUGCGGAGGAACACCGAUGGCGAAAGCAAUCCCCUGGACCUGUACUGACGCUCAUGCACGAAAGCGUGGGGAGCAAACA
rnacentral:rRNA from 1 species